rnacentral:lncRNA from 1 species
CUCCCAUUAAAUAUUCAACAAACCAAUCCAAAAUUACAAAUCAGAAAACAAGUCUUACAUGCCUUAACACUUCAGAAGUCAAGCUAGCAAGCUGGGGUAUAAUUAACAAGCUAGCAGUACCUUUAAAAAGCUAGCGGUACCAGAAGGCUGAAAGGAUGAUAAUUUCAUACAUUAUGGGGUAGAUUUAGAGGUACAGGAACAAGAAGGCUGAAAGGAUGUUAAUAUCAUACAUUACAGGGUAGAUUUACCUGAAUCAUUAAAACAGGUGGGAAUUCAUUACAUAAAGGCAAUCAAUCUAUCAAAAUGUCACCUUUAUAUAGAGUGACACCUACCUUAAAGGUAGUCACAUUCAAAUAAAGGG